GUGCUUCGGCGCGGCUAACCGUCAUGGCGUUGUCUUUUCAUUGUGCCUCCCGUUGUGCCCGCGCGGCGCGGGAGGAACGCUCGUUUUUUGGUCGUCUGUGUGGUUCUACCCUUGUGCGGUACGAGACUCGGAUCCAUGAUGGAUAUUUGCUUGCCCCGUUGAUGUUCGUUAUCAUCGGUGCAGCCGAGUUGCGGGCUUAAUUCAUGUGCUGYAGUGGGCGAAGGCCUCGGCACUGCACUUGGAUUUUGCCAGCUCUCACGGAUGCCGUGUCCUUCGAGGAACUCGCGGGCCUCCGGUCCCCCGGUUCCCACGGGAAGUCCCUUGCACUGGAUCAUUGCUCCGCCGCUCCGCUAUCUUGUUGCGGGUGUUGGGAUGUCGGCGCGGUGCGAGCGGGGCGUGCUCCUGUGCAAGUGAGAUGUUUGUCCGAUCGAAUGAGCGAUUGUCGUGCCUCGUUCCUCAGCGUCGUGGCGGCACUCGUUUAGGACGUGCUACCUGGUUGAUCCUGCCAGUAGUCA
rnacentral:misc_RNA from 1 species